UUGGUGGCAGUGGCGNCUGUCGACGACUAACGGCCGGCGCCGUUCACGAACGAGAGGGUUUCUCUCGCGCAAAGGAGAGAAAGGAGGAGGGUCGCGAAGGGUAGCAGCGCUUUCAAUGUUGGCGUUGUCGCCGGCGACGUUCUCGGCCGGCAACGGCUCUGGCAGCAAACAGUGGGGAAGAUGGUGGCACCGUGGGAAGGACAAGGAGUUUCUUCUUUCUCAGAGACCCUAGGUGUUUGGAGCGGCAUGUAGAAUGAGAGAAAGCCUGAACCCCUAAUUUCUGUUAGGGUUAAGAAGGGCUUUGGGCUUGAUAUUGGGCCGCAUUCUUUCUGCCCGUCACCACUUGCGUUCCUAUUCACACUCCCACGNACACCUGGAUAUUGGACUGCGAUUUCUCUGCCCGUCACCACACCACUCUGUUUGCACCCCUAUUUUGUUUCUGCAAGGGAAGAGGCCUUGGGCCUAGCUAUGGGCCGUACUCUUCCUGCCACCUCCUGUUCGUUAUCCACACCCCUUUCCAUUUCUGCAAACAAAAGAGGAGGGGUUUGGGUAUUGGGCCCAUUUCGUUUCUGGCACCCCCAACUUUGCAGCUGCACCCCUUUAUCUAUUUGGGGCCUGGGCCAAGAAAUUUCGGACUGCACCCUUGGUUUUGUCUUCUGCACUCUUUUUUUUAUUUUAUUUCUUAUUGGGCUUGGAUUGUGUUUUU
rnacentral:lncRNA from 1 species